rnacentral:lncRNA from 1 species
GGAAGAGAAGCGACACACAAAAUGAGGUCUUCUCGUUUAAUAGUAUAGAUAUCAUUAAAACAAGACUUAAAAGUUAGCAAAAUUAUUUGACCAAUGCUUGGUAGGCUUGUUGACCCACUGGAUUGGAUAUUGCUCAUUAUUGAAGCCUGUUAAGUUGCCUAUAGCUGCUGACAUGGAUGUCUUUUCGUCUUAGAUGGAUAGUUGUCUCAGUGGCAAUC